rnacentral:lncRNA from 1 species
AAGAGGCUAAUGGGAAGUAACAUUCUUCCAAUGGGUGUCAUCAGUCAGUGAAUUCUAGGAGUUGGCAAGCAACAAUAAAAGUAGCUUAUGAAAGAGCAAGAAAUGAGUAGAAACACCCAAAAUUGGCCAGUAGAAUAUGCAAAUAUUCUCCACAGUUGCCUAUGAAAUUAAGAAAGGAGAAUGUGAAGGGAACAUGCAUAUCUGCAAUCCUGCAAGAGGAGUGAACUGGACUAACCACAGGCUGCUGUCUGUUUCAGUGCAUUCUGGUCCAUCUCUACUGCCGAUUAAUUGCCUAUGCUCAAAGACGGAGAAUUUUCAAGAAAGUUCCUAAGGAAGAGUACUACUUAAAGGUAUUCCUUAAUUUAUUCCUUCCUUCCCUCCCUGCUUCCUUCCUACUGUUCUUUCUUCCUUAGUUCUUUUAGGAAGAGGCUAGUCCAGAGUAUGCCUUUUUGUAUUAAGUGUUGGGUAUAAUUUUAAAAUUCCCCUGAGGGGAAGAUUUUUUUGUGCCAUUUAUUUACAUGAAAAAGAUUUCAGUGCAUGAUUUACAAAAUGCCCAAUUAAAACCUGAUCUAUCAUAAUUCAGAUGUUCAGCCUGAACAUCAGAAUUAGAAAUGUAUUAAGUAAUCUAUGUACUUGUCAUUUAAGACUAACUUAAAUUACUAAUAGCACUUUGAAUUGAGAGCUUUUUACAAUCCAACACUGAUUUAUUACACCCCAGACAUCACUACAAAGAACCAUAUAUUUUACCAAGUAAUAUAAACUCAACUUGAGGUCCUCAAAAUAUUACUGUUUAGUAAGUGUUAAUGUUUCUGAACACACACACAGAGACAAAAACGGGUGCUUGUUACUAGACUCAAUUUGUUAUGGUUUUUAAAUUUUGUAGUUCUUAAAAAUUUAACCAUAUGACUUUCAUCCCUAUCAGUUUAUUACAACUUUCCUAAGUAUUAUACUUUGCUUUUCUCCCUUCCUUCUUUUCUUCUUCCUUCUUUUCUUCUUCCUUCUUUUUUGAACCUUAGUCUACACAUUUUCCUUAAAUAAUUUUUUUUGACAACAGCACAUUAAAUAUUUAAAAAUAACAGAAAAAAACGUGGACCUAUGAAGAUAACACAAGUUGGUAUGGGCCUAAGAAGAAA